UGCUACCCCAGAUGGCAAUGGAAAGCUUUUUUGAAUUAUUGUGCGAAUUUUUCUUUUUUUAAAAAGCGACCCAAGAAGCUCUUUUAAAAAAUUAGAAAAAUGGCAUGAUAACCAAAAAACUUGAAAUGAACAGCUGGAAAUAGG
rnacentral:sRNA from 1 species